GGCUGGCCUAUCGACCCAUCCUGGGUUGUUCCCUGCCUCGUGCCCAUUGCUUCCGGGAUAGGCUCCGGACCCCCCCGCGACCCAGUAGGGUGCACAUGCAUACAGGCAGCGGUGGACUGACCUGGCGCCUGCACUUCCCGGACGGCCUUCAGCGGAAGCGGCGAGGCAGCAACUGAGAUCAGACGGAGAGACGGCGGACGGGGGGGUCCCUCAUGCUGGUUUACAGAAGCAGGGAGGGACACUGGAGGAGCCCAAGUUGUCAUCUGCUAAUUGAUUACACUGCAGCAGAGCCCAGCAUGUAAAAAGAUUAAUUAUUCUGGCUACAACAAUGGGCCAUAGAAAUCAAGGCUUGAGGCAUUUUCCUGCUCUUUAUUCUGUUUCAU